UUGGACAUCAGAACUCCAGGCUCUCCAGCGUUUGGACUCCAGGAUUUGCACCAGUGGUCCCAGGUUCUCAGUCCUCAAGCCUCAGACUUAGAGUUACAACAUCAGCUUCCCUGUUUUUGAGGCCUUUAGGCUUGGACUGAGCCAUGCUACUGUCAUCCUAAGGUCUCUAGCUUGCAGAUUAUCUGCCUGGGACUUAAACUUCGUAAUCAUGAACCAGUUCCCCUAAUAAAUUCCCUCUUAGGCAUCUAUAUCUCUAUCUGUGUCUACAUCUAUCUAUCUCUGAUAGGUUCUGUCUCUCUGGAGAAUCUAAUAUCUAUAUUAUAUUCACAAAUUUAAAUACGAAUGGCACAACUAUAUUAAGGUUACAUAAGUGAGGCUACAUACUGCAAAAUUCAAAAUAAAAUCAGUAUCCAAAAUUACACAUAAUUUAUAGAAAUUUUUUUGUAUUCUUCUCUAUAAAAUGGGGAUAACAUUAUCUAGGGCAUUGUAUUACUAUCAAAAUUAAAUAAGAUAUUGCAGGAGAGUAUUUAGAAGUGCUGGAUGAUGUUUCUAUUCUUGUUAUUGCUGAUUUUUUUUCUUAUUAUUAUUGAUAUUCAUAUAGUCAUCUUUAUGGAUGUUGGAAAGGCAUGGGACAUCAUCUGCUCCUGAUUAAAACACAAUUUUAUUUACCUAGAAAUAGAGGAAUUCUUCCUAAUCAUAUGUCCCAAGGAGCUACUACUUGUUUAUCAUGAGAACCUUGUACAGUGUCUGGCACAGAGUAGUUAUUCAAUAAAAGUUUGUUGAACCCAACGGA
rnacentral:lncRNA from 1 species